UUUACCUUUAUGGUAAUGUGAGAUGCAGUGUAUGGAAUGUCAAUUUUCUAGUAUGAGAAAUUAACGAUUUAAGUCCUUCUUAAAUGAGGCCAUUUACCCAUAGAGGGUGCGAGGCCCGUAUAACGUUAAUGAUUACUAGAUGAUAUUUCCAAAGAGUCGUGUUGCUUGAUAGUGCAGCACUAAGUGGGUGGUAAACUCCAUCUAAAACUAAAUAUAACCAUGAGACCGAUAGUAAACAAGUACCGUGAGGGAAAGUUGAAAAGAACUCUGAAUAGAGAGUUAAAUAGUACGUGAAACUGCUUAGAGGUUAAGCCCGAUGAACCUGAAUAUUCAUUAUGGAAAAUUCAUCAUUAUGAUUUUAAUAUAUUAUAAUAAUGGUGUGCAUUUUUUCCUAUAAAUGACAUUGUAAUCUAUUAACAUGAAUUUAAUUUAUCAUAAAAUCAGCGUAAGUUUAUUCAAAUUAUUUUGUUUGCAAUUUAACACAGAAUAAAUGCUUUUGAUUUGAUAAAGUGUUGAUAGAUUUAAUAUAUAGUGCUUAAAUAAUAUUUUAUAACAGAAUUUAUUUUUGUUAUAUGCACUUAUAUGAUUAACAAUGCGAAAGAUUCAGUAUACCUUCGGGACCCGUCUUGAAACACGGACCAAGGARUCUAACAUAUUUGCAAGUUAUUGGGAAAAACUUAAUAGCAAAAUUAACAUGACAUAAUGGGAUUAGUUUUUAACCUAUUAAUUCAAUCCCGGGGCGUUCUAUACAGUUAUGUAUAAUAAUAUUUAUAUUAUUUAUACCUCUAACUAGAGCGUACCUUGAGCAUAUAUGCUGUGACCCGAAAGAUGGUGAACUAUACUUGAUCAGGUUGAAGUCAGGGGAAACCCUGAUGGAAGACCGAAACAGUUCUGACGUGCAAAUCGAUUGUCAGAAUUGAGUAUAGGGGCGAAAGACCAAUCGAACCAUCUAGUAGCUGGUUCCCUCCGAAGUUUCCCUCAGGAUAGCUGGUGCAUUUAAAAUUUUUGUAAAAUAAUCUUAUCUGGUAAAGCGAAUGAUUAGAGGCCUUAGGGUCGAAACGACUUUAACCUAUUCUCAAACUUUAAAUGGGUAAGAACCUCACCUUUCUUGGUAUGAAGGUUGUGGUUGUGAUAUAAUGUGCCCAGUGGGCCACUUUUGGUAAGCAGAACUGGCGCUGUGGGAUGAACCAAACGUAAUGUUACGGUGCCCAAAUUGACAACUCAUGCAGAUACCAUGAAAGGCGUU
rnacentral:rRNA from 1 species